CACAACGUCAACACCAAGGCCUCCUCUUCCCUCUCCCCAGGAAAGGAGGUCCCUCAACACACACACCACAACCACCCAAUCAACGUCAACACCAAGGCCUCCUCUUCACUCUCCCCAGGAAAGGAGGUCCCUCAACACACACACCACAACCACCCAAUCAACGUCAACACCAAGGCCUCCUCUUCCCUCUCCCCAGGAAAGGAGGUCCCUCAACACACACACCACAACCACCCAAUCAACGUCAACACCAAGGCCUCCUCUUCCCUCUCCCCAGGAAAGGAGGUCCCUCAACACACAAGAAACACAUCAACAUCAACACCAAUAGCCACAAAAAACAAUAGCCACAAAAAAACAAUAGCCACAAAAAACAAUAGCCACAAAAUAAACAAUACCCACAAAAAACAAUACAUAUAAAAAAUAACAGCCACAAAAUACAAUACCCACAAACAACAAUACCCACAAAAACAAUAUCCACAAAAACAAUAGCCACACAAAACAAUAUCCACAAAAAACAAUAGCUACAAUAACAAUACCCACAAAAAUAAUAGCCACAAAAACAAUACCCACAAAAAUAAUCGCCACAAAAACAAUAUCCACAAAUACAAUACCCACAAAAACAAUACCCACAAAAAACAAUACCCACAAAAAACAAUACAUAUAAAAAAUAACAGCCACAAAAUACAAUACCCACAAAAAACAAUACCCACAAAAACAAUAUCCACAAAAACAAUAGCCACACAAAACAAUAUCCACAAAAAACAAUAGCUACAAUAACAAUACCCACAAAAAUAAUAGCCACAAAAACAAUACCCACAAAAAUAAUAGCCACAAAAACAAUACCCACAAAAAUAAUAGCCACAAAAACAAUACCCACUAAAACAAUACCCACAAAAAUAAUAGCCACAAAAACAAUACCCACAAAAAUAAUAGCCACAAAAACAAUACCCACAAAAAUAAUAGCCACAAAAAUAAUAGCCACAAAAACAAUACCCACAAAAAUAAUAGCCACAAAAAACAA